rnacentral:rRNA from 1 species
CAAACCAAAUUAAGGUGAAACCGCGAAAGGCUCAUUAAAUCAGUUAUGGUUCCUUAGAUCGUACCCACAUUUACUUGGAUAACUGUGGUAAUUCUAGAGCUAAUACAUGCAAACAGAGCUCCAACCGGAGACGGAAGGAGCGCUUUUAUUAGAUCAAAACCAAUCGGUGGCGGGUUUCGGCUCGUCAUCGUACAAUUUGGUGACUCUGAAUAACUUUAUGCUGAUCGCACGGUCUUGCACCGGCGACGCAUCUUUCAAAUGUCUGCCUUAUCAACUGUCGAUGGUAGGUUCUGCGCCUACCAUGGUUGUAACGGGUAACGGGGAAUCAGGGUUCGAUUCCGGAGAGGGAGCCUGAGAAACGGCUACCACAUCCAAGGAAGGCAGCAGGCGCGCAAAUUACCCACUCCCGGCACGGGGAGGUAGUGACGAAAAAUAACGAUACGGGACUCAUCCGAGGCCCCGUAAUCGGAAUGAGUACACUCUAAAUCCUUUAACGAGGAUCAAUUGGAGGGCAAGUCUGGUGCCAGCAGCCGCGGUAAUUCCAGCUCCAAUAGCGUAUAUUAAAGUUGUUGCGGUUAAAAAGCUCGUAGUCGAAUCUGUGUCCCGUGCCGUCGGUUCACCGUCCGCGGUGUCAACUGGCGUGUCACGGGACGUCCUGCCGGUGGGCUUAGCUCGCAAGGGCGGCCCAACUCAAUCCCGCCGCGGUGCUCUUCAUUGAGUGUCGACGGUGGGCCGGCACGUUUACUUUGAACAAAUUAGAGUGCUUAAAGCAGGCUAAAACUUUGCCUGAAUACUGUGUGCAUGGAAUAAUGGAAUAGGACCUCGGUUCUAUUUUGUUGGUUUUCGGAACCCCGAGGUAAUGAUUAAUAGGAACGGAUGGGGGCAUUCGUAUUGCGACGUUAGAGGUGAAAUUCUUGGAUCGUCGCAAGACGGACAUAAGCGAAAGCAUUUGCCAAAAACGCUUUCAUUGAUC